GUAACACAGGCCUCGGUUUGAAAUUUCAUUUCCUGCAAUUUCAAUUAUUCGUUCUGUUAUUUAUUGCAGUAAAUUCAAUAGUUGAUUUGUUGUUCAUUCUGUUAUUAUCCAAUUAGUUGUACGACUGUAACUUGCUAUUAUAUAUCAUCUUACCGGACAAAAGGCAUAUACGGUAUUGAAAUCGAGAAUAUCGGAUUUCUCAUUUUUCAUAAACUUACCGGAUUUCAGAAAAGUUCGGUCGACCGAACUGGUGAAACUUGGGAUUUUCCCUACA
rnacentral:lncRNA from 1 species